rnacentral:rRNA from 1 species
GAUGAACGCUGGCGGCGUGCCUAAUACAUGCAAGUCGAGCGAACGGACGAGAAGCUUGCUUCUCUGAUGUUAGCGGCGGACGGGUGAGUAACACGUGGAUAACCUACCUAUAAGACUGGGAUAACUUCGGGAAACCGGAGCUAAUACCGGAUAAUAUUUUGAACCGCAUGGUUCAAAAGUGAAAGACGGUCUUGCUGUCACUUAUAGAUGGAUCCGCGCUGCAUUAGCUAGUUGGUAAGGUAACGGCUUACCAAGGCAACGAUGCAUAGCCGACCUGAGAGGGUGAUCGGCCACACUGGAACUGAGACACGGUCCAGACUCCUACGGGAGGCAGCAGUAGGGAAUCUUCCGCAAUGGGCGAAAGCCUGACGGAGCAACGCCGCGUGAGUGAUGAAGGUCUUCGGAUCGUAAAACUCUGUUAUUAGGGAAGAACAUAUGUGUAAGUAACUGUGCACAUCUUGACGGUACCUAAUCAGAAAGCCACGGCUAACUACGUGCCAGCAGCCGCGGUAAUACGUAGGUGGCAAGCGUAUCCGGAAUUAUUGGGCGUAAAGCGCGCGUAGGGCGGUUUUUUAGUCUGAUGUGAAAGCCCACGGCUCAACCGUGGAGGGUCAUUGGAAACUGGAAAACUUGAGUGCAGAAGAGGAAAGUGGAAUUCCAUGUGUAGCGGUGAAAUGCGCAGAGAUAUGGAGGAACACCAGUGGCGAAGGCGACUUUCUGGUCUGUAACUGACGCUGAUGUGCGAAAGCGUGGGGAUCAAACAGGAUUAGAUACCCUGGUAGUCCACGCCGUAAACGAUGAGUGCUAAGUGUUAGGGGGUUUCCGCCCCUUAGUGCUGCAGCUAACGCAUUAAGCACUCCGCCUGGGGAGUACGACCGCAAGGUUGAAACUCAAAGGAAUUGACGGGGACCCGCACAAGCGGUGGAGCAUGUGGUUUAAUUCGAAGCAACGCGAAGAACCUUACCAAAUCUUGACAUCCUUUGACAACUCUAGAGAUAGAGUUUUCCCCUUCGGGGGACAAAGUGACAGGUGGUGCAUGGUUGUCGUCAGCUCGUGUCGUGAGAUGUUGGGUUAAGUCCCGCAACGAGCGCAACCCUUAAGCUUAGUUGCCAUCAUUAAGUUGGGCACUCUAAGUUGACUGCCGGUGACAAACCGGAGGAAGGUGGGGAUGACGUCAAAUCAUCAUGCCCCUUAUGAUUUGGGCUACACACGUGCUACAAUGGACAAUACAAAGGGCAGCGAAACCGCGAGGUCAAGCAAAUCCCAUAAAGUUGUUCUCAGUUCGGAUUGUAGUCUGCAACUCGACUACAUGAAGCUGGAAUCGCUAGUAAUCGUAGAUCAGCAUGCUACGGUGAAUACGUUCCCGGGUCU